UACAGAGGUCUCAAGCGUUGUUCGGAUUCAUUGGGCGUAAAGGGUGCGUAGGCGGCGCGGUAAGUCGGGUGUGAAAUCUCGGGGCUUAACUCCGAAACUGCAUUCGAUACUGCCGUGCUUGAGGACUGGAGAGGAGACUGGAAUUUACGGUGUAGCGGUGAAAUGCGUAGAUAUCGUGAGGAAGACCAGUGGCGAAGGCGGGUCUCUGGACAGUUCCUGACGCUGAGGCACGAAGGCCAGGGGAGCAAACGGG
rnacentral:rRNA from 1 species